rnacentral:rRNA from 1 species
UACGUAGGGUGCAAGCGUUGUCCGGAAUUAUUGGGCGUAAAGAGCUCGUAGGCGGUCUGUCGCGUCGGAUGUGAAAACUCGGGGCUCAACCCCGGGCCUGCAUUCGAUACGGGCAGACUAGAGUACGGCAGGGGAGACUGGAAUUCCUGGUGUAGCGGUGAAAUGCGCAGAUAUCAGGAGGAACACCGGUGGCGAAGGCGGAUCUCUGGGCCUUACCUGACGCUCAGGUGCGAAAGCUAGGGGAGCGAACAGG